rnacentral:hammerhead_ribozyme from 1 species
GCACUGCUGAAGCGUCCCAUAAUAGGACGAAACGGCCGUCCAGUGU